GACGAACGCUGGCGGCGUGCCUAAUACAUGCAAGUCGAGCGAAGUUUUUCUGGUGCUUGCACUAGAAAAACUUAGCGGCGAACGGGUGAGUAACACGUAAAGAACCUGCCUCAUAGACUGGGACAACUAUUGGAAACGAUAGCUAAUACCGGAUAACAGCAUUAACUGCAUGGUUGAUGUUUAAAAGUUGGUUUUGCUAACACUAUGAGAUGGCUUUGCGGUGCAUUAGCUAGUUGGUGGGGUAAAGGCCUACCAAGGCGACGAUGCAUAGCCGACCUGAGAGGGUGAUCGGCCACACUGGGACUGAGACACGGCCCAGACUCCUACGGGAGGCAGCAGUAGGGAAUCUUCCGCAAUGGGCGAAAGCCUGACGGAGCAACGCCGCGUGAGUGAAGAAGGAUUUCGGUUCGUAAAGCUCUGUUGUUAGGGAAGAAUGAUUGUGUAGUAACUAUACACAGUAGAGACGGUAUCUAACCAGAAAGCCACGGCUAACUACGUGCCAGCAGCCGCGGUAAUACGUAGGUGGCAAGCGUUGUCCGGAUUUAUUGGGCGUAAAGCGAGCGCAGGCGGUUCCUUAAGUCUGAUGUGAAAGCCCCCGGCUCAACCGGGGAGGGUCAUUGGAAACUGGGGAACUUGAGUGCAGAAGAGGAGAGUGGAAUUCCAUGUGUAGCGGUGAAAUGCGUAGAGAUUAGGAGGAACACCAGUGGCGAAGGCGGCUUUUUGGCCUGUAACUGACACUGAGGCGCGAAAGCGUGGGGAGCAAACAGG
rnacentral:rRNA from 1 species